UCUCUCCAAUCCCCUUGAUCUUAUCUAUCUCACGCGUCUCUCUCUCUCUCUCUCUCUCUUCUCUCUCUCAUCUCUCGCGGCGGCCGGAGUGGCCCGGCGGAGGCGGUAGCGGUAGCGGUCACACCCCGCCGCCCCUUCGCUAGAUCUAGUGGGAGGAGAGGCGUCGACUGCCUCCGACGGCAGAAGGGGCAGCGCCCUUCCCUUCGCCAGAUACGGCGGGAGGAGAGGCAUCUGCAUUCUCUGAUGGAUGGAGGAGAUGCGGCAGGGGUGGCACCCUCCCCUUCGCCAGAUCCGGUGGGAGGGGAAAAAGCGGCCUUCCACGACGGCAAUGGUAGCACCCACACCUUCGCCAAAGCAGAGGCAGCGGCGGCUGUAGUGGAAGGGGAGAAGGAGGCUCGCCCCUCCCCCUAUCCUCCUUUCUAUCUGGCGACGGCGGCAGGGUUUGGACCGGGUUUUAAGACUUUGGGCCACCACGCUGGCUUGAUCUGAGCCUAGUGAACUCAGUUCGGGGAAGAGAAAUUAUCGAGGAAAACUAGUGUAUGGGAGAGAAGGAAGAUAGUGUCGUGGAGGCGGAGGCGGACAUGCUCAACGCCUCGGUCUCCACCCUCGCCACCGGUGGCUUCUACGCCUGCGGAGCGGCACGAUGCGGUGGCCGUGUGCACAUCUCCGGUUCUGGCGAGGCAUGGCGCAGCGGCCGUGCAUGCUCUUCUUCGGCUCCGGCGCGGCAGGACGGCGGCAUGCUCUUCUUCUGCUCGACCGCGGUGCCGGCAACGGGGUGCACGCACUGCUCCUUCAGCUCACGGCAGAAUGGGAGGAUUCCAAAAGCCUCACCAAGUUAGAGUAGGAAUUAUUAGCUAAUUGUAUUGUAAAUAAGUACCACUAAAGAGAAGGCACUGGAAAGGGAAAUUAUCACAAGUACCUCAUGAUCAGGUACAUGUACAUAUGGAACUUGGAACCUCUUUCCAUGUUUUUAGUGGCAAAAUUGACAGCUCUAUCUUACUUGCAUACACAUUUAGAAACAACACAGAUUCAUUCCACCAACACCACACCGAAGCUGAAGAGCACGCCGCCAUGCCAAUUCGGAGCCGGAGAAGGUCACGCCGCCGCCACGCCGUGCUGCUCCGGAGACUUGGCCGGGAGCCGCCGGUGGCGAGGGUGGAGAUCGAGGCGUUGAGCAAGUCCACCUCCACCCCCACCUCCACGACACUAUCUUCCUCCUUUCCCGUGCGCUAGUCUCCCUUGAUAACUCUCUGCGCUGAACUGAGUUCACCAGGCUCAAGCCAACAUGGUGGCCCAAAAGUAUUGAAACCCAGUCCAAACUGCAAAAGAAGGUAAUCAUACCUGGUGUUAACUGAAAAGGUAGAGUUAUACCUGGUAUGGUGAAACUUUGGCCAAUAAAUCAGGCCCAAAGUGAAAUUUACUCUUUUCUUUACAAAUCGUAUACAUCAAAGGUGUUGGUUCCUAAACCGGCAUCUUGGAGUCUUCUCAUCAGUGCCGUUUUCGUGGUGUCGGUUGGGAAAUCCAGCACCUUUGUGUAGUUCCCAACCAGUACCAAUCUACAUUUCUGUAGUUGUGAAUUGGAGUUUAUAAAGUUUGUUUCUCGUCCAGCAUGGUUUCCUAGAGGAUUAGGACUUCUUGUAUGAGUUUGGUUCAUGGUUUUAGGCAACCUACCUCAGCUAUAAAGAGAAAUGGAGGCUAACUUUUAAUUCCGUUAAAAAUUUUGAUUUUUGGUUACUCCAACCAUUUGACCCCUCUAAUUGGCUUAGUUUUUGUUGUACGAUCCUGCAUUUACAUGGUAAAUCCUGCAAAAAGGAGCUGCAAGUAACCUGCCAUGUUGAAUGUCGUGUGGAAUACACAUGGGGAGAAUAAGGAGCCGUGCCGCCAUACCGAUGGGCCGCAAUGUCCUCUCCAGUUUUUUUUUUUUUUUUUUUUUUUUUGCGGGGAAUGUCCUCCCCAGUUAGGUCGUGGACACUCGGUUUAUUUCAUGCUGGUGCACCUGCUGAUCCUGCCUCAAGUGUAAGCUGUGGGGUGCCUCACUUCGCGUGUUGCUAGUGCGGGCGAUGGCUUCGUUUGUCCCGUUCACCAUGAAGCCGCAGGCUCGAUCGCCAGGUAACCAGAUCAGAGAUAUACUACUCAUUAGGACUCCUAGCUCAUUCUUUCAUUGUGCUAUCAGGAGGAGAGAUAUUUCUUUUCUCGGUGGAUUGGGCUCAAUCGGCGAUUAUAGAAUAUGACAAGCAACCCACCUGAACAACAACGCUUUUCAGACCAACUAGAAUAACUUUUAAGCUCUGUAAUUUACAGUGAUUUUGUUCCAAAACUUGUGUGCCAAACAGGUCCUCAGGGUUGUUUUCAUUCCAAUAUAUUAGUUAUUUGUUAAGUUGUAUAUAGCAGGUACUUCAGGAUAAAAAUUAUUGCUGAAGACUGGAUUAACCAACAUUGGAGGUAUCUGCAUCGAAGUA